rnacentral:lncRNA from 1 species
AUUUAAUCCUAAAGCAAGCUCUUUACAUGUAGAAGAAAAAUAGUCAUCAGUAGCCUCAGACCUAACACCUACCUACUUGGCAACCCUAGAAACAAGCAGUCUCUGUUUUGCAAUGGUUCGACUGGAUUAGGUAAGAUUCUCAUCACCCAACUUAGGUCACAUGCCCACACAAGAAACACUUUGUGUGGCAAGAGGAUGGCUAGAGUCACAUAUCUACCCCCGGUGGUCAGUCUCACUCAAACAACAUGAACUGAGAUUGGAGGAUGGAUGGGUUCUGAAAAUCAAAGAUAUUUAACAAAGUAAUGUGUGUUGGACAAAGUCAAUAGGUAUUUACUACCAGGGGGCUCUAUUUAGAAUAUUUAGUGAAACAGGUGUUAGCUGAAACAAGUUUGUAGACUCAUUUGUUUAAUUUUGUUAUUGUUUCUUGGAGGAAUAGAGUGUGGUGACAAGUAAUACAAAGAGAGCACUGUAAUUGAAGAAUCCUGCCAAGGUCUGUCUCAAUGACAUUUUAAUUUUCUUUCUGUGCUGUUAUCCAUUCUCAACAGUAUGAGUAUCCAUGUCCCAGAUUUCUUUCCAUGUCCACAAGUAUCUUAGAGACUGGUAAGGCGCUGGACAAUUGCUUUGCUAUUCUGGACUUAUGUGCUUGCUGACUUAGAAUGCUAAACUUUUGGAGAUUUCCUUAGAAGAGGAGGUGUUUCAUGAUGCAGUCUUUGCCAAUCACUCUCUGGUCAGGGAACAUGGACCAGUAACUAAACACCUUGGACUUUCACAUUAAUGUGAUUUUUUUUUUUUUUUUGCACAGAUCUUGAUCUACUACUGAUUCAUUCCACUCCAUUUAACAAAUAAUCUUAUGUGAUAAAAUGAUGUUUAAUGCUAGAUAACAUAAGUUGGUACAGUGCUUUACUAUAAUGUAUCAUUUUUUAUUUAUUAACUUAUUUGAUUUUUCACAUAGCGCUCCAAUGUGUAUGGGCAUGCCCUGCCAUUCUCAUUACUUUUUAAGUUACUGAAUGGGUCAGUGACUCAAUCAAGGCUAGAACCUCCUUUGUAAAAUUUAAAAAGUAACAGAAACUAAUUCAGUUAAUUCAAAAAACAUUAUUUGAUCACUUAGACAAUGCGGAGAGACUAGAUAAGCACUAAGAAAAUGAAAAUAAGUGAAGAAUUCUUGCUCUGGAGUAACUCAGACUAUUAUUGAAAAUAGACUUGCGAAAAAAUAUAUAUAACAUUAAAAAUGAUAGGUAAUAAAAAUAAAAUGGUGUGAACAAAUACAUGGAGGAUACAACACAAAGAGGUAUUCAGUACCUGGGGCUAUAAGGAAAGGCUGAUACUCUUUAAGCUCAGUUACUAACGAUGAGAAUAUUCUCAGGAAUGGAGGACAGGGAGUGAGAAAGUGGAUGGUCAUUCAUGACACAGAAAACAACGUGGGUAAAGGCACAGCAAUGUGAGUGUCCAGCAUAUCCAGAGCGUAGGAAAACUUUCAGAGCAAAAGCGAGAAGGGCCAGACCUAGGCAGAUAGGUGAAAGGACCCGAUCAUAAGAAGAGAUUAUUUAAACCAAUAUUGUUU